ensembl:lncRNA
UCUGUGUAACAUGGAAAACCUUCUGCGCGUCCUCCACACAGUAGGCAACCAGGCCCACUCUUUCUCUAGGAAAUUAUAUAAAAUUAUGAAAUAAUGGUCCAGAGUUAUUCCAUGAAUUCCUAUGCAGGAAUCAAAAUACCCUCAUUACACUUGUUUUGCUUUCUUUUUAAAGGCAGUUUUUGUUCCUCCAAAAUUUCUAAAAUGGAUGGUUUCUUAUUUUCCAACCAUAAUCUUCACAACAAACAAUGUCGUGUAUUUUUAUGAAGGAAGGUACUUGAUUAUUCGACUUUGAUUAAUUGUUGAAUACUCUGCGCAUAUGAAAUAUCUAAGUAACACAGGUUAAUCUUCCAUAACAGUGUUCAUCCUUAAUUUUCUUUGUGCUGUGCUGUGUCAGACUUGAGUUGGUUUACUGAAGGGCACUGCCACAUUCUGAUAAUCUGAAAUCCAACUCAGAGGCACAAAGAUGUUUUUCCAGAAUUUAUCAAUAAUUUUCUUCUUCACCAUUUCAGCCUUUUUUUUUUUUAAUUAAAUUAUUUGUUUAUUUGCUUGUUUGAUUAUUGUUUUAUUGUUGCUGUUAUUUUUGUUGGUUUGAUUUGUACUUAUCUACUUCAUUUUACUUCUAGACUUCUCUGAAUACACUGCCAUUUUUACGCAAACAGACUCAUUCACCUCUCACAAGAAUCUCUCCAUCCUUCAUCCUUCAGACUUGGCUGAAAUUUUUAAGGACAAAACAUCUUUAAUUUUGAGAGCAUCUUUAUUGGAGGGAAGGCUUUAAAAUUGAUUCAUAUCAUUAAGCAAAUAUGACUGGUGGUUCCACUUCAUCAGACAUCAACAGUGGCACAAAUGUCCACAUUUUUUUUGGAAACUCAAAUCAGCCACAAAGGAAUUAAAAAUAUCUGCAUCUUAUUUCUUAGUGAAACUUUCAGUAUCAGGGAAAACUAACAUUCCAUGAUUCCAUAUAGUUUCUGUCUAUUAAGUUGUAUUAUUUUAUUACAGUUAUUUACAAAAUCCUCACAAAUAAAGUAUUUCUUUUGCUUCAUAUCAUUUUAAAUUUAUUGGAAAAUAAAAAAAAAACCCAUAUAAAUGUGUUUAAUGGUACUGUACUAUUUUAAUAUUAUUAUUUUAUAUUUAUAAUAAUUAUUAUUGCAGUCAAAAGACAAAGGGCAAAGGAAAUGUCAGAAUCAUUUAAGAAAAGAAUCACAAGAACUGUUCAAAUGAAAUAACCACAAAUAUUUUUUGAGAUUUUUUUUAAAUGGAUUUUUAUGAAUCUUUAAUUCUAUUAAAUGGGAUAAGAAAACAUUGGAACACUGCGUACAUUGAUAUUAGAUCUUUACAAAUGACACUGUACUAAUGCUACAUAAUCCUGUAUAAUAUGGAAUGGAUAAUCUAAC